rnacentral:misc_RNA from 1 species
UUUGUUUUUGUUUUUGUUUUUUAAAGAAAAGCCUAAUGAUUAUACCAAUUUGUUGAGCUUUUAAUUUAUUUACGUUUCUUUGAAAAGUUUCAUGUAUUCUUGCUUAUUCAUGUGCUUGUUAGCUUAUAAGAACUUGUACAGCAGAUGCAUUCUGUGUACUUGUCUACUAUUACAGAACAGUAGUUUUUCUGUCUGGGUUGAACUGAUGUGGUCUACCCAUUAUUUGGAAUCAAUAAUUCUGAUUAUUUUGAUACCAUAUUCUUUUAUCUUGUUAAAUAUAUGACAUUUUGAAGAAUGAUACUGAUAGGUAUUUUGCUGUUUUUGGAUGUGAUGUUACAGAUGUUUGAUGAUCAAGACCUGG